AACUCAAAGGAAUUGACGGGGACCCGCACAAGCGGUGGAGCAUGUGGUUUAAUUCGAAGCAACGCGAAGAACCUUACCAAAUCUUGACAUCCUUUGACAACUCUAGAGAUAGAGCCUUCCCCUUCGGGGGACAAAGUGACAGGUGGUGCAUGGUUGUCGUCAGCUCGUGUCGUGAGAUGUUGGGUUAAGUCCCGCAACGAGCGCAACCCUUAAGCUUAGUUGCCAUCAUUAAGUUGGGCACUCUAAGUUGACUGCCGGUGACAAACCGGAGGAAGGUGGGGAUGACGUCAAAUCAUCAUGCC
rnacentral:rRNA from 1 species